AGCACGGGAGCAAUCCUGGUGGCGAGUGGCGAACGGGUGAGUAAUAUAUCGGAACGUGCCCAGUCGUGGGGGAUAACGCAGCGAAAGCUGUGCUAAUACCGCAUACGAUCUACGGAUGAAAGCGGGGGAUCGCAAGACCUCGCGCGAUUGGAGCGGCUGAUAUCAGAUUAGCUAGUUGGUGGGGUAAAGGCCUACCAAGGCGACGAUCUGUAGCUGGUCUGAGAGGACGACCAGCCACACUGGAACUGAGACACGGUCCAGACUCCUACGGGAGGCAGCAGUGGGGAAUUUUGGACAAUGGGCGCAAGCCUGAUCCAGCAAUGCCGCGUGCAGGAUGAAGGCCUUCGGGUUGUAAACUGCUUUUGUACGGAACGAAAAGGUCUCUCUUAAUACGAGAGAUUUAUGACGGUACCGUAAGAAUAAGCACCGGCUAACUACGUGCCAGCAGCCGCGGUAAUACGUAGGGUGCGAGCGUUAAUCGGAAUUACUGGGCGUAAAGCGUGCGCAGGCGGUUUUGUAAGACAGAUGUGAAAUCCCCGGGCUCAACCUGGGACCUGCAUUUGUGACUGCAAGGCUAGAGUACGGUAGAGGGGGAUGGAAUUCCGCGUGUAGCAGUGAAAUGCGUAGAUAUGCGGAGGAACACCGAUGGCGAAGGCAAUCCCCUGGACCUGUACUGACGCUCAUGCACGAAAGCGUGGGGAGCAAACAGGAUUAGAUACCCUGGUAGUCCACGCGCUAAACGAUGUCAACUGGUUGUUG
rnacentral:rRNA from 1 species